GCCGCACGCAGCGCCCCCAGUGCACGCAGCGCCCCCAGUGCACGCAGCGCCCCCAGCGCACGCAGGUACCGCAGCGCACGCAGCCCGGCACCCUGACAGCGGCAGGGGGCGGGGGAAGAGGCAGCCAAUCGGGGAGCGCAGCGCGCGGGGGGGGGGGGGCGGGGACUCCGCCCAAUGAGGGGAGGAGGGGCGAUGGCGGGGCAGCCGUUGGGCGCCUCAGAGGGGCGGCGGGUGCCCGGUGCCCGUGUGGGGUUCGCGGGCUGUCUGUUGUCCGCAGAGCGGUGGCUGUGCUUAAUUCUGACGGUGUCUUGUGCUUAGGGCAGGUGUCCUUUAGCCCGUUCUAAUUUUUCGAGUUUCUCCUAGCCUGGGGUUUGCUUCCUUUUGACAAGUGAACGUGGGACUCCUCCCAUAACCACAGCCUGGCGUGAGGGCGUGCAGUGUCCUCAGCACCCCUGAAAAAGGGGGGCAGCCAGGGAGCGCUUAGGGACACUCAGUUCUGUCUUUUUUUUUUUUUGUUCCCCCUUUAGGGGGAUGGGGGACCCAGGGGAGAGGUCAGCGCCACUCUUAGGCAAUAAUUUGGGCAAGAGGCCUUGAACUCCUUGCAGAAAUGGCCUGAGGAAAAAGGAAGCUUAGAGAAGCGACUCCAAAGGUUGCUCAGCCAAGAGCACUUUGUGUUUGAGGAGGACUCGAUCUUAAGCCAGAAGUCUGGAAUGGGAGUACAGUACAUGUGUUCAGCCUUGCACCAGCCAUUGGUAUUUCUGAGGCUCUCCCAUCAGUUAAAAAAACUUGCAAUUUCCAAGUGACAACAUGGAGAUUGCCCACAUUGGACGCCCGCCUGUUUCUUUGUUCGGUACUUACAGCAUUGGCGACAGCAAGGACCAUGCUCAUGACGCAGGACAGCAAGAGGAGCUUCAUUUUGAGCGAGACGCCUGUGGAGCAGAUGGCACAGAGUUGCAGCGCCCCGGUUCCAGCGGAAGGGAAGGCGCGGGGAGCACGCACGCAGGCUGGGUUGACUGCAGCAGCUGGCCCAAGGCUGCUCCAGCUGUGCUUUGAGCAUCUCCUGUGGCGGAGGCUCUGCGACCUGUGUGGGCAACCCGUUCCAGCGCUUGCCCACCCUCCUCGUGGACUUUCCCUUCUGUUCCCUUCCCUUCCCUGCAGUUUGCAGCCAUACCCAAGCAGAUUUCUGUCCUGCAGGGCAGUGGGGUAAGAGCUCUCCCCGGUACUACCUUUGGGUUGCAUGUUGAGCGGCUGGUCAGCAGGUCAGGAGAAGUCGGCUGGCUGUGGUGAUAGCGCUGCCUGGACGGCCGGCGUCUAUAUAUACGCUGCUGGGUAGCGUGGCACACAUCAGGAAGCUGGAAGGUGUCAUGUGUCAUAUCCUCAUAAACCCCGCUGGCUGUUUAGUUUAAUUACUUCUCACCUGAUAAAGCAGCCAGAUUUUGCAAAUGACCUUUACAUGAUGUUUUUCAUAUAAUCCUUGGGGGAUCGACAGAUUUGGCAGUGGAAGCAUAUGUUACAAAAGGAAUGGCUGUUGUCUGUUUCACUAAAGAUCUUCACCUGACUAUAGGGUUCUGCAUUUUAGUGUUGCUGCAGGAAUGCUUGUGUGGUAACAGUGCCCAGAGUACUGAAGCUGCUAACUGAGAUGGAGAGUUACGAUGUCCAAAAUGGAUGGAGCAGCUGAUCUGGGAGACCCUUUCCAGGCAUGUGAAGGACAAGAAAAUGAUCAUUAGUCAGCCUGGGUAUUCAAAACCCAUAUGCGUGUGGUCCUGGGCAGCCUACCUAGGUUGUGCUUGAGCAGAUGAUGUCCAGAGAUCCCUUCCAAUUUAAGCCAUUCUGUGAUGUUGUGAGGAAAAGGACCUUGGAUUUCCUGAGGAAGCAGGACUUUGUGAAUUCUAGUUACUGCUGACCUGUGAGGCCAGUGUUUCCUUCUUUCUGGAGUCCUCCAUGUGGCCCUGCAGGUGGGCUGAAAUGAGACUGAAGGCAAGAACCUCUGGUAUCAGUACAGCACAGGGAUUUGGAAAAGGAGAUUCAGAUUGUCAGGUAACUGAAAAGAGAGAAGGCUGCUUGUCUUCAGCAGCUGUAUCUUGCUGGCUUGUUAAUGUUGGAGCAGAGGUGGUCAACUCUACAUGUGGAGGGAACCCACCUAACUGAGCAGUUUCCCUAAGUUGCAGAGAAGAGUUUUAUGAUUGGGUGCCAGUCAGUGGAAACCAGCUGGAGGUUGUUUUGCUGAUUUGUGCUGUUUGUGGAGUAUUUCUGAUCUUUAGCCUAACAAAGUACAGCUAUUAUUCAAUGUGGACUGGAGGUUAUAUAUACAUCCUGAACUCGUAUCUACCUAAAAGGACCUGUGUAAGAACAUUUAGCCUUAUCUGCUUUUUCCAUCUCACUUAACAUUGACCUGAUGUUUUCACUGAAAUAGAAGGAAAGUCAAUAAAUGUGAUAUUUUUACUCUGGUUCAUCUUUUAAGCAACUGCAGAGCUAAGAUUGUUCCCACUAAAACCCUCGCACAAUGAGUGUGUUCAUAAGGGCCGGGGGGGAUGUAUCUCCAAGGAGGGUGCCAGAUGCUGGGUAGGCAUGAGACUUCACUGAUGAUACUUCCUUGUAGAGAGGAUAAAUACUUAUGACUAAUUUUAACUUAGACUCAUUAAAACCAAGUGGAAGCAAUCGAGUCCACAGAGGGUCACAACCUUUCUUUUACCGACUUCAUAAGUUAACUGUAGUGUUAUUGUUACUGGUUAACACACUGGCAGGUGAAACAAGUGGUCAUUUAUGGUCCUUAUUCUUACUGGUGUUUAUGAUUUGUAGGUUAACGAUCAACUGCAACUCCCCCCCUAGCAGAGGACAGGAGCUGAGCUGAAUAUCUCACUGGUGUAGCACUCUGGGAGAGCAGCAUCUCUCCAUGUGAACGCCAGCAGGCGCUCCUCCUCUGUG